GGACAGGUGGCUGAGUGGUUGAAGGCACUCGACUCGAAAUCGAGAGAGGGGGCAACCCCUCCGUGGGUUCGAAUCCCACCCUGUCCG
rnacentral:tRNA from 1 species